GACCUGGUGGUGAAUGGUUCACACCCACAAUUCUUAGUGUCUUUCGAAGUGUGUUGUGUGGGAGUUCUCGGUUCGACUCCGAACCAGGUCA